UUGGCUUCAACUGAGACCAGAGAAGAAAAGGUCAGCAUUUUCCACAGACACAGGGAAUGAAUUCCUCAUUUAAUUUGGUUUUUCUUAUCAAUCGUCAACACAUCAAUGGAAACGCAUGCACAUAGGUGAAAACUAGUCUCCUUUAUAUAUCCUUCUUGAGUUGUUGUUGGUUACAGGUUUUGGCCUAUAGAGAAAAAAAAGAAAAAACUAAUUUUCAAACAGUGAACGGUGAACAUAAAACUUGAACAUGGAGAAAGAGUGUUCCUUUUCCGGCAAACACUGGUACAACUCGUUGCCUUGUUUCAUCAAAGAUGAAUAGUUCAAAGCGUGCCGGGGAAGCAAGACUCACCUGCAGCGGUUGCCAAUUCAAGUUUCUAGUACCUACAAUCACAAAUCCAUACCGUUGCUAUAAAUGUAACAGUCUCACCAAUUCAAUUUCAGGUUCUGAGGAGCAAUCAAGGAAAGACAGUGGAGUCUUCAAACAUGAUCAUCAACUGAAUAAUAAUCCUAAUACCAAUGGAGCUUUGCUGCCAAGAUUAUCAUCUCCUUCAGCAAGUUCUUCCUUGUGAUUAUCCAUGAUGGGUAACAAGCGUGCAGUUAUAUGUGGAGUUACAUAAUGAUGUUAAUAACAUGAAAAAUCUACUUCUUGAUAACUUUAAAUUCCCAAUUGGGUGCAUAUGUGUCCUCACAGAAGAACAGAAGGACCCCAAUUUAAUUCCAACAAGGAAGAACAUACUGGAAUCAUCAAAUUGACUUGUGAAGGACUGCAAGUCAGAGGACUCAUCAGUCUUCUACUUCUCAGGACAUGGUUUGCAACAACCAGAAGAUCACAAAAGAGAUGAAAUUGACGGACUUGAUGAAACUAUUUGCCCUGUUGAUUUUUCGAGAGAAUGAAUGAUCACUGACAAUGAAAUAAACUCUUUCAUUGUUCAACCACUCAAGCAAGGUGUCACACUUCAUGCUAUUAUUGAUGCUUGUCAUAGUGGAACAACACUUGAUUUAUGUAUCUUUGCAAAAAGGAAAAAUGCAGUUGGAGUUGGAAGGAUAACAAACUUUUAUAAAUUAUUUCAAUUGGUCUCUUUCACAGGUCUCAGUCAUCUCCUUUCAUCAGAUGUUGAAGUUUCCCUGUGUAUGAGUGUUAAGAAUGCAUAGAAAGUUCAACUGCCAGGUUUAGUAGUUUUAUUAUGUGUUUUAUGCAGAUUAAUUUUAUUAUGUGUUUUAUGCCUGUGUAAAUUACAGAAGAAGAGAAGGAUCCCAAUUUAAUGCAGAUUAAUUUUAUUAUGUGUUUUAUGCCUAAAAUUACAUCAUCUAUGACUAUGAUAUAUUAAAGGAUCUAAAUAUUAUCUCUUUGAAGCAGCAUCAAUAAUUUGUAUCAACUUUUCUUUUAUCCGACACAUCCAAAAUCCAUUGUAAAUCAUAAUUGAGCAGUUCCUGAAUGUAUUUUAACGAUCAAAUUGGAUUCUUUGCUUCGCUGCAUUGCAGGACCCUCAUUUAUCAUCGUCAGAGAAAUUUGAUAUUGCUACAAGAAUAUUUAAAUUGUGAGCAUGUACGUUGUAAAAGACAAUUCUCUCAUUUGUUAAUUGGUUGGUAAGGUCAGGACAAAAUAUUAUUGGUUAUUCAUCAUAGCUAUCUCAUGACAGAAGUAAUUCAUGAUUAAAUUGGAUUUUUCUGAUCAUAAAAGCGCAGGACUUUAGGCUUGUGUAUAGUAAGCUUUAGAUAUGUUUCACUCUACCAAUUUCUAAGUAAAUUGAAUUGAAGGUGUAACAGUGAAUCCUUUAUAGGAAAUAAGAGAGUUUUACUUUUUUUUUUGUGAAGAAAUAGAGUAAUACUUCUAAUAUAUAAAUAGAUAGAUAGAGAUUCGAGAGAUACACAGUUACACACGAGCAGAAAAAUUAAAAUUAAUGAUGCAACUCAGUGAUGAAACAUAUUCUCUCAUCGAUAGUGAUGACCUUUGUGACGGACUGUAGGA